UANGGCGCAAGCGUUAUCCGGAAUUAUUGGGCGUAAAGAGCUCGUAGGCGGUUUGUCGCGUCUGCCGUGAAAGUCCGGGGCUUAACCCCGGAUCUGCGGUGGGUACGGGCAGACUAGAGUGCAGUAGGGGAGACUGGAAUUCCUGGUGUAGCGGUGAAAUGCGCAGAUAUCAGGAGGAACACCGAUGGCGAAGGCAGGUCUCUGGGCUGUAACUGACGCUGAGGAGCGAAAGCAUGGGGAGCGAACAGGAUUAGAUACCCUGGUAGUCAAGGGCG
rnacentral:rRNA from 1 species